rnacentral:rRNA from 1 species
UACGUAGGGGGCUAGCGUUGUCCGGAUUUAUUGGGCGUAAAGAGCGUGUAGGCGGCCAGGUAGGUCCGUUGUGAAAACUAGAGGCUUAACCUCUAGACGUCGAUGGAAACCAUCUGGCUAGAGUCCGGAAGAGGAGAGUGGAAUUCCUGGUGUAGCGGUGAAAUGCGCAGAUAUCAGGAAGAACACCCGUGGCGAAGGCGGCUCUCUGGGACGGUACUGACGCUGAGACGCGAAAGCGUGGGGAGCGAACAGG